rnacentral:rRNA from 1 species
UACAGAGGUGGCAAGCGUUGUUCGGAAUUACUGGGCGUAAAGGGCGCGUAGGCGGUCCGAUAAGUCCUGUGUGAAAUCCCUCGGCUCAACUGAGGAACUGCACGGGAGACUGCCGGGCUUGAGUUCGGGAGAGGGAAGCGGAAUUCCGGGUGUAGCGGUGAAAUGCGUAGAUAUCCGAGGAACACCGGUGGCGAAGGCGGCUUCCUGGACCGACACUGACGCUGAGGCGCGAAAGCGUGGGGAGCAAACAGG